rnacentral:rRNA from 1 species
UACGAAGGGGGCUAGCGUUGCUCGGAAUCACUGGGCGUAAAGGGUGCGUAGGCGGGUCUUUAAGUCAGGGGUGAAAUCCCGGGGCUCAACCCCGGAACUGCCUUUGAUACUGGGUGUCUUGAGUCCGGAAGAGGUGAGUGGAAUUGCGAGUGUAGAGGUGAAAUUCGUAGAUAUUCGCAGGAACACCAGUGGCGAAGGCGGCUCACUGGUCCGGUACUGACGCUGAGACGCGAAAGCGUGGGGAGCGAACAGG